AUUGAACGCUGGCGGCAGGCCUAACACAUGCAAGUCGAGCGGAUGAAGGGAGCUUGCUCCUGGAUUCAGCGGCGGACGGGUGAGUAAUGCCUAGGAAUCUGCCUGGUAGUGGGGGAUAACGUCCGGAAACGGGCGCUAAUACCGCAUACGUCCUGAGGGAGAAAGUGGGGGAUCUUCGGACCUCACGCUAUCAGAUGAGCCUAGGUCGGAUUAGCUAGUUGGUGGGGUAAAGGCCUACCAAGGCGACGAUCCGUAACUGGUCUGAGAGGAUGAUCAGUCACACUGGAACUGAGACACGGUCCAGACUCCUACGGGAGGCAGCAGUGGGGAAUAUUGGACAAUGGGCGAAAGCCUGAUCCAGCCAUGCCGCGUGUGUGAAGAAGGUCUUCGGAUUGUAAAGCACUUUAAGUUGGGAGGAAGGGCAGUAAGUUAAUACCUUGCUGUUUG
rnacentral:rRNA from 1 species